UACAGAGGUCUCAAGCGUUGUUCGGAUUCAUUGGGCGUAAAGGGUGCGUAGGCGGCGCGGUAAGUCGGGUGUGAAAUCUCGGAGCUUAACUCCGAAACUGCAUUCGAUACUGCCGUGCUUGAGGACUGGAGAGGAGACUGGAAUUUACGGUGUAGCGGUGAAAUGCGUAGAUAUCGUAAGGAAGACCAGGGGCGAAGGCGGGUCUCUGGACAGUUCCUGACGCUGAGGCACGAAGGUCAGGGGAGCAAACAGG
rnacentral:rRNA from 1 species